UACGAAGGGGGCUAGCGUUGCUCGGAAUCACUGGGCGUAAAGCGCGCGUAGGCGGUUCGGUAAGUCGGGUGUGAAAACUCUGGGCUCAACCCAGAGCCGCCACCCGAUACUGCUGUGACUCGAGUGCGGUAGGGGAGCGGGGAAUUCCUGGUGUAGCGGUGAAAUGCGCAGAUAUCAGGAGGAACACCGGUGGCGAAGGCGGUCGCUGCCGGCAUGACUGACGCUGAGGCACGAAAGCGUGGGGAGCAAACAGGAUUAGAACUUCCGUUGUCAGUCCAAGACCAGUCCUCGUGACCUAC
rnacentral:rRNA from 1 species